rnacentral:rRNA from 1 species
GGAGGGGGAUAACUACUGGAAACGGUAGCUAAUACCGCAUAACGUCGCAAGACCAAAGAGGGGGACCUUAGGGCCUCUUGCCAUCGGAUGUGCCCAGAUGGGAUUAGCUUGUAGGUGAGGUAACGGCUCACCUAGGCGACGAUCCCUAGCUGGUCUGAGAGGAUGACCAGCCACACUGGAACUGAGACACGGUCCAGACUCCUACGGGAGGCAGCAGUGGGGAAUAUUGCACAAUGGGCGCAAGCCUGAUGCAGCCAUGCCGCGUGUAUGAAGAAGGCCUUCGGGUUGUAAAGUACUUUCAGCGGGGAGGAAGGGAGUGAGGUUAAUAACCUUAUUCAUUGACGUUACCCGCAGAAGAAGCACCGGCUAACUCCGUGCCAGCAGCCGCGGUAAUACGGAGGGUGCAAGCGUUAAUCGGAAUUACUGGGCGUAAAGCGCACGCAGGCGGUCUGUCAAGUCGGAUGUGAAAUCCCCGGGCUCAACCUGGGAACUGCAUUCGAAACUGGCAGGCUGGAGUCUUGUAGAGGGGGGUAGAAUUCCAGGUGUAGCGGUGAAAUGCGUAGAGAUCUGGAGGAAUACCGGUGGCGAAGGCGGCCCCCUGGACAAAGACUGACGCUCAGGUGCGAAAGCGUGGGGAGCAAACAGGAUUCGAUACCCUGGUAGUCCACGCUGUAAACGAUGUCGACUUGGAGGUUGUUCCCUUGAGGAGUGGCUUCCGGAGCUA